rnacentral:rRNA from 1 species
ACGAGUGCAAUAAGCGGAGGAAAAGAAACCUAACGGCGAGUGAAGCGGCAACAGCUCAAAUUUGAAAUCUGGCUCCCUAGGGGGUCCGAGUUGUAAUUUGCAGAGGAUGCUUUUGGCGAGGCGCCGGCCGAGUGCCCUGGAAUGGGACGCCGUAGAGGGUGAGAGCCCCGUACGGCCGGACGUCGAGCCUCUGUAAAGCUCCCUCGACGAGUCGAGUAGUUUGGGAAUGCUGCUCUAAACGGGAGGUAAACCCCUUCUAAAGCUAAAUACCGGCCAGAGACCGAUAGCGCACAAGUAGAGUGAUCGAAAGAUGAAAAGCACUUUGAAAAGAGAGUUAAACAGCACGUGAAAUUGUUGAAAGGGAAGCGCUUGUGGCCAGACUUGCGCCCGGCGGCUCAGCCGUCCCUCGUGGGCGGUGCACUCCGCCGGGCUCAGGCCAGCAUCAGCUCGCUGCUGGGGAGAAAGGCGGUGGGAACGUGGCUCUUCGGAGUGUUAUAGCCCGCCGCCAUGCCCUCCAGCGGGCUGAGGUUCGCGCCUUAGGGCAAGGAUGCUGGCGUAAUGGCCAUCAGCGACCCGUCUUGAAACACGGACCAAGGAGUCGUCCUAGCAUGCGAGUGUUCGGGUGCCAAACCCCUACGCGAAAUGAAAGUGAACGGAGGUGAGAGCUUCGGCGCAUCAUCGACCGAUCCUGAUGUUUUCGGAUGGAUUUGAGUAGGAGCAUGCUGGGCCGGACCCGAAAGAAGGUGAACUAUGCUUGGAUAGGGCAAAGCCAGAGGAAACUCUGGUGGAGGCUCGCAGCGGUUCUGACGUGCAAAACGUCAACAGACGGGACCGGAUGCU